GACGAACGCUGGCGGCGUGCCUAAUACAUGCAAGUAGAACGCUGAAGGAGGAGCUUGCUUCUCUGGAUGAGUUGCGAACGGGUGAGUAACGCGUAGGUAACCUGCCUGGUAGCGGGGGAUAACUAUUGGAAACGAUAGCUAAUACCGCAUAACAGUAGAUAUCGCAUGAUAUCUACUUGAAAGGUGCAAUUGCUUCACUACCAGAUGGACCUGCGUUGUAUUAGCUAGUUGGUGUGGGAACGGCUCACCAGGGCGACGAUACAUAGCCGACCUGAGAGGGUGAUCUGCCACACUGGGAUGGGGACACGGCCCAGACUCCUGCGGGAGGCAGCAGUAGGGAAUCUUCGGCAAUGGACGGAAGUCUGAACGAGCAACGCCGCGUGAGUGAAGAAGGUUUUCGGAUCGUAAAGCUCUGUUGUAAGAGAAGAACGAGUGUGAGAGUUGAAAGUGCACACUGUGACGGUAUCUUACGAGAAAGGGACGGCUAACUACGUG
rnacentral:rRNA from 1 species